rnacentral:rRNA from 1 species
UGGGGAAUUUUGGACAAUGGGCGAAAGCCUGAUCCGGCAGUGCCGCGUGUGUGAAGAAGGCCUUCGGGUUGUAAAGCACUUUUGUCCGGAAAGAAAUGGCUCUGGUUAAUACCUGGGGUCGAUGACGGUACCGGAAGAAUAAGGACCGGCUAACUACGUGCCAGCAGCCGCGGUAAUACGUAGGGUCCAAGCGUUAAUCGGAAUUACUGGGCGUAAAGCGUGCGCAGGCGGUUGUGCAAGACCGAUGUGAAAUCCCCGAGCUUAACUUGGGAAUUGCAUUGGUGACUGCACGGCUAGAGUGUGUCAGAGGGGGGUUAGAAUUCCACGUGUAGCAGUGAAAUGCGUAGAGAUGUGGAGGAAUACCGAUGGCGAAGGCAGCCCCCUGGGAUAACACUGACGCUCAUGCACGAAAGCGUGGGGAGCAAACAGGAUUAGAUACCCUGGUAGUCCACGCCCUAAACGAUGUCAACUAGUUGUUGGGGAUUCAUUUCCUUAGUAACGCUAGCUAACGCGUGAAGUUGACCGCCUGGGGAGUACGGUCGCAAGNUUAAAAGCUCAAAUGAUUUGACGGGGGCUGCAUAGCU